UACGGAGGAUCCAAGCGUUAUCCGGAAUCAUUGGGUUUAAAGGGUCCGUAGGCGGUUUGGUAAGUCAGUGGUGAAAGCCCAUCGCUCAACGGUGGAACGGCCAUUGAUACUGCCAGACUUGAAUUAUUAGGAAGUAACUAGAAUAUGUAGUGUAGCGGUGAAAUGCUUAGAGAUUACAUGGAAUACCAAUUGCGAAGGCA
rnacentral:rRNA from 1 species